CUUGAGAAAGGAAUCCUCAUACUUGUAUGUGUGAGCAAGGAAGUCUUAUGUGUUUGAGUAAGGAAGUCUCAUACUUGUGUGUGUGAGAGAGAGAGAGCAAAAGAAGUCUAUUGCUUGUGUGCUUGACCAAAUUGUAAUCUUGUGGGAUUAUAGUGAAAAUCUCUUUGUAAAUACAAGGGGACUGAAUUACUCUCGAUUUGUGAAAGAAAUCUGAAUAACCGUGUGCGUUAUUCUUCUUUCUUACAUUUUA
rnacentral:lncRNA from 1 species